GUAACAAGGUUUCCGUAGGUGAACCUGCGGAAGGAUCAUUACUGAGUGAGGGUCCCUCGGGGCCCAACCUCCCACCCGUGUAUACCGUACCUUGUUGCUUCGGCGAGCCCGCCCCCUUUUUCUUUUAGGGGGCACAGCGCUCGCCGGAGACACCAACGUGAACACUGUCUGAAGUUUUGUCGUCUGAGUCGAUUGUAUCGCAAUCAGUUAAAACUUUCAACAAUGGAUCUCUUGGUUCCGGCAUCGAUGAAGAACGCAGCGAAAUGCGAUAAUUAAUGUGAAUUGCAGAAUUCAGUGAAUCAUCGAGUCUUUGAACGCACAUUGCACCCCCUGGUAUUCCGGGGGGUAUGCCUGUCCGAGCGUCAUUGCUGCCCUCAAGCACGGCUUGUGUGUUGGGUCGUCGUCCCCCCCCAGGGGGACGGGCCCGAAAGGCAGCGGCGGCACCGCGUCCGGUCCUCGAGCGUAUGGGGCUUUGUCACCCGCUCUUGUAGGCCCGGCCGGCUGCUGGCCGACGCUGAAAAGCAACCAACUAUUUUUCCAGGUUGACCUCGGAUCAGGUAGGGAUACCCGCUGAACUUAAGCAUAUCA
rnacentral:misc_RNA from 1 species